AGAACACCCAAGAUUAGGCAGCAAGCAAAGGACGAGAAACUGGCCACGUGGCAGCAACCACCCCCUCUUGCUCCCUCUGCCUAUCUGUCCUGUUCCUGAGGGUCAAGUGUCUCAGAGGAUCUUGGAGAUCUGGUAACCGCCCCCUCGCACUGAAGCGGCUAAAGGCAGACCAUGGACUAGACCCGCCGGAGGGGCUGGCACUGCCCCCACCCCCUCUGCCAGCCGACGCCUCUUGCUAAAAACAGCCGGGCCCGGGGCCUUUCAGGCCACCCCCUCCAGGCCCGGGCAGGUAUUAGAGGCCGAAGCUGGGCCAGGCGAGCUGGACACCAUGCUGUUCACAGAGACCGCCCACUUCGUGGUGAAUUUCCUUCUGUCCAGGUGGAAGCACCAGUGGCAGAAUAUUAACUACCAACUCCUGGACAAGAGGAAGAGCCAUCUGGUUCCCCUGCGCCCAAUGUGAGGAAACAGGCUCCAGGUUCAUCACAUGGUGGUCCCAAGGCCGACUUGUGCAAGCCAGGAUGACAGGAGGACGGCCUGGGAGCACUGCUCGAUCCCAUAGCCCUUCCCUGUGGCUGAAGAUGAUCCAUCUUCGCCCUGUCUCCUGAGGUCUCCGUGUUUCUGCCCUUCACGGCCCAAAUAAAGCAGCUUUUGCCUCUCUCUGGCCCUCUCCACUUUGCAGGGUGAUGAUCUCAGUUCCUUCCAUUCGCAUACACUGUUAGAC
rnacentral:lncRNA from 1 species